UAAGAAAUUUGUCUGCUCAUUCAAACCUCACAGCACCCACCAUUUCUACAAACCAAUCCUACCCACAUUAGUAUAUAAUCCAUGCAUCCAUCCAAAAUCUAAGCUAGCCCGCUAGUACACUUCUUUAGUUCUCCAGCUCUCAAGAUCAAAAUUAACCAAUAUGGUUGUUAUUAAAAAUCAAUAAGCAGGACACUAAUGAAGUUAAGAUCAAUGGUGAGCUUGAUAUCUAUGCUAGUGAAUGAACCAGUAGUGUCUAUCACGACUAUAUUAUAUCACAGUGGGCAGUUACCAAGGAACUUGAAUUCGGAGAGAAUAGCACGAAGCAAUUUGCUCAGUGAUCUUCAACGUAACUAUGUUUUCCGUUUCCUCAUUGGUAUUUUGAGAUGCGUCUGGUAGUUAUAUGUAAUCUAGAUAUAGACACAGAAAGAGAUAUAAAUAACCGAUUUUUUUCAGCUUUUUUGUGUUUGCAACUGCCAGGAAGACCGGUAGCUGUAAUCUUCAAUGGAUAAAACUUGAUUAAGGUCAAAAAUCCAAGUUCAAGAUUUCUUUCUCUGCGCCGAAGUGGAGAACAGUAUAGGUUUGAAAAUCAGUCAAUAAGCUAGGCAACUAAUGAUGUUAAGAUCGAUUGUGAGCUCGAUAUCUUUGCUAGUGAAUGAGCCAUUGAUAUCUAUAACGACUAUACUCUAUCGCAGUGGGCAGUUACCAAGGAGCUUGAAUUUGGAGAGAAUGGCGGGAAGCAAUUUGCAUGAUGAUCUUCAACGCAACUAUCUUUUCCAUUUCCUCAUUGGUAUUUUGAGAUGCGUCUGGUAGUAAUGUUAACUACUAGUCUAUACAAAGAGAUCGAAAAAUAAUCUUUUGCAGCUUUUUUGCGUUUUUACUGCCAGUAAGAUCAGUAGCAGUAAAAAAAAAUUUGGAAGGCAAUCCAUAUAACUUGAUUAAGGUACAUGGAAACCAUGUUCGCAAAAAGAAAAGAAAAAAAAAAUUUCCCUUUUAUUCAGUGUAGCUAGUUCCAUCCAGGUAAUUAUACAAACCCAAAGCACCAGAAAGAACAACCAACGAGUUGAUUAUGUGAAAUCCACAUUUCCUUUGUAUUUUUAGACUUUGAAUUAAGUGUAAUCUGAUCUAAAUCAAAGAGAGGUAAAAAUUAACACAACAUUUACUUACUUUUGAGAGGAAAAAUCGUUGAGUCUUCGCCGAGAUAGAAGUUCCCACGGAUCAAACCCCAUUACAGUUGUAGAGAGAACGGAUCAAGGAGAGAUCUAAUCAUGU